AGUGAACGCUGGCGGUAGGCCUAACACAUGCAAGUCGAACGGCAGCACAGUAAGAGCUUGCUCUUACGGGUGGCGAGUGUCGGACGGGUGAGGAAUACAUCGGAAUCUACUUUUUAGUGGGGGAUAACGUAGGGAAACUUACGCUAAUACCGCACACGACCUGCGGGUGAAAGCAGGGGAUCUUCGGACCUUGAGCGAUUGAAUGAGCCGAUGUCGGAUUAGCUAGUCGGCGGGGUAAAGGCCCACGAAGGCGGCGAUCCGUAGCUGGUCUGAGUGGGAGAUCAGCCACACCUGAACUGAGACACGGUCCCGACUCCUACGGGAGGCAGCAGUGGGUAAUAUGGGACAAUGGGCGCAAGCCUAAUCCAGCCAUACCGCGUGGGUGAAGAAGGCCUUCGGGUUGUAAAGCCAUUUUGUUGGGAAAGAAAAGCAGCAGGCUAAUACCCCGCUGUUCUGACGGUACCCAAAGAAUAAGCACCGGCUAACUUCGUG
rnacentral:rRNA from 1 species